AUAUUUCUAAAUUAUUUUAAAGAAGCAAAAAUCCAGUGAUACCACUUAAAUGUUAUUUUGGAUCUCUUGACCAGGUAGUGACAUUUUGUAAGGCAUAGUGCUGGCUUUUACACUGAUAAUGUAGGAUACCACAUCCUCUCUAAAGCUUUCUGCUCACAUCAGUCCUAGGCACAGAAGGAAACUGCAGGCCCAGAAACACACUACCCAAGAACUUUUAAAUUCAGAGCACUGCAAUUGUUGAAAUAUUGAGAGGUAAUGUUAUCUGUCUUGUUUUCAAAACUUGUGUGUGACUGAUCAGCCUCUGUAUGCCUUGUUCCACUAAUGUCCUUGUCUAAAAUCACAAUGCUCUAAAUGACCCUGGUGGGCAUGGCAGUGAGUGCUAAAGCUGAACUUCAUGGUGCUUCCUAGUUCACAUUUUGAUCAAGUGUAAGUAAUAUGUCACCUAAAGCUAACUAAACGUAUUGUUUCUCACAGGUCCAGCUGAGUCACUGAAACGUGUCUGCAUGUCUCAGGAUACCAAACCUGUGAAUUGAAAUACAGGUUAUUGAUUAUUGCCUUGGGAAAAGCAACCAGAGGCAAUUAAUGAGACAUCAUAUAACUUCUAAACUAAAUGAUGGCUGUACAUGAUAAUUUUCAGCUGAGAUGUUGGCAACUUAUUAGAAACAACUUUGAGAUAACAUAAAGUGUGUAGGAUUUACAUAUCUGAAUUUGUUUCUAAUGCUGUCCUUCAGCCUAAGAACAACAUACUGGUUUCAGGAAGAAGGGAUUUUAUCAGAAGUAAAAUGGUAAAUUUGUCUUGCAAUUUGUUUUUUAAGGUGGCUUCGAGGUGUUUUUGAAGAUAUGGAUCCUCUUGUCUAAGCCCUGUAAUAUCCUUGCCUUGAACAAUGUAUGAGCCAUCUGCCACAGUGACAGGAUCCCUUUAUCUUUUGGAUAAUCAUGCUGAGAUUUAUGCUUGUACUGAACAAUGAAAUCUGUGGGUUUUCUCAAUUCUUUGGUUUUGUGUGAGGAAUGGAAGCAGAAGGUGGUCCUUGCACUUGUAAUAAGCACAAUUGAAUCCUACAAGGGCAGUGAAUAAUCCUGCUAUCUUUGUCUGAUCUCCUCUUCUUCACCCAAAACCAAAACCAAACCCAAAACAAAACUAAGCUUUCACCAAAGUUGACCCAAAUGUAGGCCUUGGUGACAGAUAUUAUUGUCCUCUACUUUGUACAGCCCACAAUGCUGUAAAGUGCUUUUCUUUUUAUGUACUGACUGGCACAGUCACUGCAUAGUUUAAGUCCUGGAAUGUGCAUACACAUGUUGUUUUCCAUAACAAAACAGUGAUAAUGCCUUCAUAUAGUGGAAUUUUUUUGUUUUCCCCAGCAUUCCAGUGAGCAUCAGAAUUUUAUCAAAAAGUUCAUUGAUUAAAGUUAAACUACACGCAGGCAGCUGUGAUAUUGUUAGUUAUUGCAGGCUCCCUGGGGGUGAUGUUUAGCACAGAAGUCCUUCGGUGCAGCCUCUCUGUGCAGUGACCUCCAACAGACCCCCUGUUUGCUCUGACUACUGACAGACUAGCCUUCAUUUGAGGACAAGCUGAUAAAAGCAAUUUUUAAGAGGCAAAGAAAUAAAAAAGAGCUGUUGAGUUAUUUGACACAAGGAAUUCCUGAACUGUUGUUGCAAACCCUGCUUAGAAAUAGUGCUUGAAAUCCUAAAUCAACAUUUCUGACCUGUUGUUGGAUGAUGCAAAUGCAGGAAAAAGGCUGUUUUACUAUUCCUUUACAAUCUAGGUUCAAUGGAAAACAGAAGCAGAGCACAUCCAUCACAGUCAGAGAAACCAGUCCUACUUUUGAAGGAGGAGGAAAAACUGCAUUAAUUUUUUUCUAAACACCCUGUAGAGCACAUUUGUCAUAUAUCUGUAUCAAAGAAUGGUGUAAAGAGACAAUACAGAAAAGUAUGUCAAUUCAUUAACUCAGCCUUGCCCUCAGAAAAAUGAUUGCUUACAUACUUUUAGCCAUAUCUCCUAAAAAUGCAACUGCAACUUUUAAAACAGGGUAUUGACCUCUAGCAAGAAUAAAACAUGCUGCCUUUCCUUAAUACUUUUGUCCUGCUGUAACAGGAUGUCCUGCUGAUGUGGCUAGAGCAAGGAACAGCAAAGACCUAGGACAGCAAAACUUCAUAGAAGCAGAAAGUGAUAAAUGUCCUUGCAAGGUACAUCUCUCCUUCAGAGCGGUACUACAGACACUGAGAAAGUAGUAUCACUGUAUGAUACACAGAUAAUAUUUAUUAUUGGCAAAGUUAAGAGGUUGUGCUUCCAGGCAUAAAUUUACCUCUUCCAGCCCUCUAAUUUCCCAUGCCUUGUCUUGGUUUUAUCCUUUGCUGUGUCCAAAACAGGCAGCUCUUCUUCCAAGCGAGCUAGUGGUAUAUUAUGCUUUUUGAUCUUCCUUCUUAUUUUGCACUUUAAAAUCUUAAUGUUCCUUAAUCCUCCAUAGGAUUGCCCAUUUUGCUGCAGAGCAAAAAAUUUAAGCUGGUUGUUAAGUGGAGUUGGAAUGCUGCUUCUUACACAGAAAACAGCUGGCAGAGAAAUUCAGUUUCAGUAAGAAUUUGUGCUGCAGUUGGGAGGACCUGUGCUACUUGAUGAAAAGGCAGUGGGUUUUUCCAGGAUGCUCCUGUGUAUUUCUGAGAAAGGAUUGGUACCUUUGUCUGCAGUUUAUAGCAGAGUGAGGGAUGCUGUAGAUUUCAGAAAGGGACAAAAGAUUUUUCUUGGAUCACUGUGUUGGAUACCAAGGAUUGCACCUCUAGUUGUUUGGUUUGAUUUUCAAGCAAGCAGAAUUUCUUAAGAGAUAGUUCUGUGUUUAGUACAGUGCAAUGUGUUUUAUCCCUGGUGGAAGGUGGAAAUGUGGAAAGGUGUGGGCAGGAAAGAGAAUAUUGAGGGAUAACUAGCAAAUACCUUUGUCAACCAGAAUGGAAACACCUUGAUGCAUGAAGUAUUCUUGAUGAUUUUCAAAAGCAAGGACAUUAGAACCAAACUUUUGUGGGUUGCCAGAGUUGCCCUAAGAAUGCUGCAGGAGCAGGGAGACAUGAAGUAUGCUCUGGAAAACUUGUAGUGGACAGUGGAAAACACUUAGGAGUAAUUCAAGCAUAGCAGGGGAUGUUUUUCCUUGGUUCAAAUACAGAGAGAAAAAAAUUAGCUUUCCUGUUCCUUCUUCACAUAAACCAGACCUUUAGUAGGUCAGUUAGACUGUAUUUACUGUCUAACAUUGAUUUCCAGCCUUUUCUUUCUGGAAUUUCUGUCUAUGUUCUUGCAAGGAUCAUCCCAAAGAACCCAAGAACUAACCAAGUUAGAACAAAAUUUAUUUCAGCCUACUUAUGCUAGGAAUUAGAUAACUUCUAAUGUAUGCAGCUUUUUUGUUUUUAAAUAUGUGUGAUAUUUUUUUCUUCCUAUUUCAAUUCCCAGUGCUAAUGCCCCACUAUUCUGUACAGUGUUUCCAUAUAGCUGGAGCCUUCUCAGUGACAACAUAAGCUGUGCUGGAACAAACAAUGUGUUGAGGGUCCCAGACACGGGGGAAAUUAAUGUAAAAACAGUGCUAAGACCACACAACUUUUCUAUAACCAGGGCAACCCUAGCAUCCACUUUUAAGUGCAUCACUUGUAUUUACCAGGGGUGCAGAACAUCUGACAGCCACCUUAUUCCACAUUUAAAAAUUAACUUCAGCAGUUCAAGAGUGGUUUUUUUUGUUUGCUCCUUUUGAAUUUCAUCUAUCAUUCUGCAGGGUUUGCUGGUCCUUCUCAUUGGCUACUCAAACUUUUCCCAAAGACUUAUUGGCUUGAAAUGUUCUUUGCUCCCUCACUGCCUAAAAGUGUCUCGCAGUCUUUCCUGGAAAUCUGUUAACUAUAAAGCUGUUUAAUUCCACAGUUCCUGGAGGCUAUGGGCCCCUGUGUUAUGCAUUGGAUGCAUUUAAAUUUCAGUGGGGAUGUUCAGUUCAGUUCAGUAUUAACUAGCUUUGCCUCAUCCUGCAGUCGCUGGACUGUGAAUUUUGCUCGCAAUAUACCUCCAUAACAGUGACUACAGUGAAGUUUUUCUCCCUCAUUCCCCAUCUGAAUUUGACUCAUUGUUUCCUCUUCCUUAGUUUUUUUUCCCCUAGCUCUUUGAACUUCCCUUUUAUUUUUUGGCCUCCGCAGUUUAUUUGCUCUGCCUUUGGUUUCCCCCUUGCUUUCUCAUUGAUUAGUCUUAGUCUCUAUUAUGAGGUUCACUUCUCUGAGAAAGGAGGCAAGAGAUUUGGGACUAUAGAAAGGGAGUUUUACAUUGGUUUGCAUCCUCGACCUGCAGCAUUCUCCUCUUCCCAGCAGAGGUGAGCAAAUCCAGAGAUGUGGUAGCUCCUUUCCUUGUUUCUCCUUGGCCAUAAGGUGGCUGAUAUGGGGAUCUGUCUUUGCAAUUCCCAAAUCAUACAGAAACACUUCCUUCAGUGUGCCCAGAAAAGGUUAUAAGAGCAGGAACAUGUCUUGGAUUGAGAGAGAAGUGACAGAUCUCUUAGGGUUGGCUUUUUUUCAGUCUCUGCUUUCUUUUCCUUCCCAACAGAAAUGCAAAAAUUCUGGCCUUUUUAACCCAAAGAGGAAAAAAAGCAAUUAAAAGGUGUGAAUCUAAUUAUUGCCUUAGAGUGAGUUUCUACAGGGAAUGAAACUAACCUGGCAACAAUUGGGAUUAUAUGAUUUGCAUAGGACAAAACCAUUGCUGCUUUGAGUUUUGGAGGAGCUGACAGCAUGUUUUUCUAGACUGUAUGUGCUUCUCCAGUUUUGCAAAUUGACCUUUUAGAUUAGUCAACAGUGACUCAUGAUAAUUUGCACCUUGAAGGGUGGCAUUUUAUGCAGAACACUUAUUCUUUUUUUUUCUUUCCCUAAUUUACUUGUCAUUAUGGCCAUAGACUGAGCAAAGGUUAGGUGAAUAGUCAUUUAAUACAUUCCAGAUAAUUUCUAUUUUACAAUGAAAGAAACUAGAAUGUCCAUGUUCCUUGCCCUGUCUUUCUUGCUUGUAUUGGCUGUUAUAUUGCCUCUGCAUGCUACAGCAGAAGUCAAAGUAAAACCAGAGCUCCACAUUUGUGAGCCAGACAGGUCUGUAGAUGCUGCAUUGCAGGCAGUGUUGCAGAGGGACCUUUAGGUGUAGCUGGGAAAGGGGGUUGUGCAGCUCCCGGUAGUUCAGAGGAGGUUUCCUUUCUCUCAAGGUUUUGUAGUGUGGCAUGCAAUGAUGGCAAACCUUCUCGAGGUUUUUGUAUGUUUCAUCAUUUUCUUCUUUCAAAACAAAGUUACUCUUUCAAAACUGGACAAGAGAUAUUACUGAGUAUACAAAUUGCAACCGUGCAGUACCCUAAAAUACAGUUCCAUUUUGCUGUAAGUUUUGUGUCAUGAGGAGGAAGAAGACUGGUUGGUAAAAGAGAAACAUUGCAGAAACCCCCACUUUUACCCUCAUUUUUCUCCAAUCUUUUCACUGGACAAUAUCAGUCCCUGAAAAGCCACAGGGCUCUUGCCCUGAAACAUCUCCAUUUCAAGACGUCUGAAAGGGCCUUUAGUGUGUAAGAUCUGUUUCAAUCUGUUGCUACAUGAGGUGCCUGCAGUAACAUAAAAUAAUACUUUUUCCAGAAAAAGAACAUAAUGUAAAAGGAAAAGGUUAGUUGAUGAAACAGAAAAUAAUAAGGCAGGAGUGCAGACUCACUGGCUGGCUCUUCUGUGUCCAUUUAACCUGUGGAAGGGAUAUUGGUUGGAUGCUCAGCUGGGCCCUCAGGAGAGGACACAUCAGGCUCCCUGUGAAAUACACCAGAGAAGGUCUUGCUCUCUGUCCUGUCCAUCACUGCAGCUCACACUUGACACAGCUUUCAGGGAGCAGAUGUUCAGGACACUCCAAGCCAUUUAUUCCCACAGCCUGCACAAUAUGUAUACUGCAGAAAUGUAUUAUCUAUGUUGGAGCUUCAACUACUGUUAAAAUACUUUAAACUGCUGUUCAACUACUGUUCUCUGCUGUUCUUGGUUGGUGGUUUAAUGAUGCUGGAUCAAACCUUGAAGGGAAACUGGCCAGGGUUGGAAGAAAAGAACUUUAUGACAUGGAAGAAAAUACCAGCACAAAAAAUGAGAGGAUAAAUUGGGGAAUAGGUAAGAAGCACCUUCUAGUCUUCACAGAAGGUUCAAAAACAAGUUUCCAAGAUGAAUGGUGGGAUAUUUAAGAGCAUUUCUUUUGUAAGACAGAUCUUGAGCAUUUUAUGACUCAAACUGAUGUUUUAUGUAUGUAGGUGCUGGUGUAUGUGGUCAGGAUUUUUUUUUUCCUUUUUCUUUCAGUUUUUCAGCAAAGGUUUUAAGACUCAUUUGCCCUUUUAAAAUUUCCUAACUACGCACACAAUAUUUUGUUGGAAGGGUUGUUGCAGUUAAUAUUGGACUUGAUUAUAGUGCAGGUGUAUGUUUUAUGAUGUUGUUGAUGGAUGUCUCCUAAUUGUGCAGGACGGGAAACCAUGAACAUAAGGACAUGACAAUUUUCAUAAUGAAUGACUAAACACUGUAAGAAGUGCUUAAAUAAGUACUCAAAAAGAAUUUUAAUAGCAGGAGCAAGAGGGGAGGAAGGAAAGAGAGAUCAUACUUACUGUGGUUUGGGUGCUAUUUUUUAUUUUAAUAUGGUUUUUUCAGCAGAUUCUCUUUACUCUCAGAAAAGUAGAAUUGAUUUUUCAAUGUGGUUAUGGGGCAUCUGAGAGCUUUUAAAUGAUGCUGAAACAAGGCAGAGUUGUGAAAGUUGACUCUUGUUGAUGGUAUCCACAUCCCUUUAAAAAAUACAUUUAAAAUUUCUGUGUCUUUCAGGUACUUGUCUAAGUGCACGUGGAUGUGGGAAGGAAGGAGGUUCCUGUUUGCAAGGAAAAUGUUUUGCAGUAAUUGGAGAAUGUGUUUCUGGCAUAAAAGCUGCCCUUAACCUCACAGCAGGAGCACCCCAAGAUAUCUUAGAAAUUGAAGGCUACUUUUAUUGUAAAAAAAGCUGUCAGAGAAUUAAUCCAUCUUGAGUUGGAAAUGUCUCUUGAAGAUACAUGCUUCUUCCCAUUACAGCCUGGUCAAAUGGCAGCCUGUUCCUUUGAGGAUUCUUUUGAAGAUUCUAAGCUAGCUGAAGGCAGGCACAUUCUUCUACUUGGAGUCUUCAGAUGUGAGCCUCUUCUGUGUCUCUGAGCAAGAUUGAUCUCUCCUUCAUUUAACAAAAAUGUUAUUUCUGCCAAACAUCAAGAGAGGAUUUUAACCCAAGUAUCAAAACACUUCUGCAUGGACAGUAUUUGGAUGUAAAAGGGAGAAAAAGAACAGAUCCAGCUUUGACAUGCAAAUGCUGGCUGUCUGGAAAAAGAACCCCAAAACAGAACUGCUACCCAGGAUCAAACCUUCUGUGUCCAAAUGUCCUCUGUGUGCAGUUUUGCCAGCUGCACAGUACCAGCAACAUUAGGGCUCACAAGUCAGCAAGACAUAAAAAGUCCCAAGUGAAGAACUUGAACUGAAAUACAAAAUAAGGUGCUAUGGUCACCUGGGAAUUGGGGAGUAUCCACCUUGGAGCAUUUUCUUACUGCAGGCCAUGAGGUUUAUUAGGAUAAGAGGUACCUGCAUGGCUAAAUUCACCAUCUCAAGAAUAGGGAAAUGCUAUGAUCUGCCAUUUAAAGCAGUCCUUGUGCACCAGUGUCCUUUGGGAUCUUGUGAGAAGUCUUAAUCAACUAAAUCUUUUCAACAGCCAAUCUUUUAACUGUACUUCUAAACUGGCAAAACUGUAGGACUGUUCAAAGGCCCUGAUCUCCUUCAAGGCUCCUUUCUUCAGCCUCAUUUCUACUUCACUGCAGUGGCACUUCAAAUGAGGAAAUCUAUCACCACCCUGUGCUGCUCAGUGUUUGGGGCAGUCACAGAUUUUCAAACAACAUACUUCUAUUAUUUGGAGGCCAGGCAUCACUGAGAAAAACAGAUUUGGCUGCAAUAACUUCAGUAACUUUUUCUAAAACAAUCCUGCUAAUAAAUUAGUCUCAGCAGAAUUGUACCAGACCUGUGUGCAACCCCAUGCUGUGCUGUCUUCUGUUCCAACACACACUGGGGAAAUUCAGUGGACGAGCUCUUGACUUACACAUUAUCCAUUCAUGAUUACUGGGAGAUGGUGGGGAAAAACACCUCAAAGGUUUUUAAAACUGUAUUUAUUUAUGCAUUUAACUGUAUUUAUUUAUGUAUUUAUUUAAAACUGUAUUCUAUCAGAAAAAAAAAAAAAAUGGCACAAAUCCCAGGUACCUCAGUCCCACUUAGGAACCAGAGCUGUAAAUUGCCUUACAUGUUACAAACUCCUUCCUCAGUCAGGCACUGAUCAUAGGGCUCUGCCAGUGUGCAGAGUGCUUAACAACACCAUUUAAGGCGCAGGUACCUAAAAUCACAUCCUUCUGCCUGGUUUUGGGUCUUCAAACAAGGUGCAUUUGCAGGGAGCAUUAGGCAGUGGAAGAAGUUCUUCAUAUAGGGGUAUUCAUACUUUAUGGUACCCACAGGAUCUCAAAAUAUGUUUGUAUUUUUUAAGGCAUAAUAAUGUUCUCAUAACAAAGUUCUCAGCCCAUUUCAACAUCUCCUUUCCCUUCUGUCCUCUAGGUUACUUCUUGCUUCAAUUUCUGAUAUGCAAAAGGUAAACAAAAGUAAUGCAAAACUGUGAGUGAGGAUCAUACAGAAAGAUUAUCUCCAGAAAUUUCAAAAAAAAAUCAAAUCCAAUUGGGUCUCCCCCCACUGUGUGAAACAGAGUAUUUUGAAUUGUGUCUAUUCCCAAAAGCAAUGUUACUAGAAUUGGUCUUCCACUUGAUUACAGAGGCAAAUGAAGAAACACAACUUGUAAAUAUCAAAUAAAAUGAGACUGCUUGAUACAAAUAUUUUACAUUUAUUGGAAGAGUACAGUUAAACGGGGACUGCAGACUCAUUAGUGGUAAGUGGUCCAAAGGAGAAGACAAAGGACUAUUCAAAAAAGGUCUGCAGUUUACAAGAAGACUGAAAAUCUCUUACAUAACAGCCUAGGAAAAUAAAAAGUUAGCUUGAGUUCUAAAGUGUAACUUUAAGUAUAUAAAAAUUGGCAAAUAAAUAAAGUUAAAAUGCAGAUCUAUUUAAAAUUAUAAAGGACCGACAACUGACAACUGUAAAACAUAGUUAUAAUUUUCAGACUUGAUUAAAAGCCAGAUAAAUUCACAAAUGUUGUUUCUUUUUUUUUUUAAUUUUAUUUUACAUGUACUUUAGGGAAGAAGGACCCAUUUCCAGUGUUAUGUAUUAUCGAUCUGUUUCACAAAUAUAUUAUUUUUAAACAACAAAGAGCAUAAAAGGUGCUUUACCUGAUAUUGCUGGUGCGUAUUUUGGCACAAAAUUGAGAACUGGAUACCUAAAGAGAUCUGCAAAUGGCAUCUGUGUCCACUCAAGGCUACCGGUGACAAAAGUCUGGCUUGCGAUGGCAAGCCAGUGAUGUGAAUUUCCCUCCUUCUCUAACACCCCUGUUCUGUCUCCAGCUGCCAACAGUUACACAAAGGAAAAGCAACACAUGCAAUUUCAAAAUCAGCAGUCCUACAACCCCAGCCCCAGUUUCAUCCCUGGAAGUCCUUUAACAGAAGGUACAAGGCAGGUGUUUAAUGCUGGCUUUCACUCCUCAGUGUUUCUCUGUAGGAGUCUGCCUGCCUUAUGUGUCCUGUGUGAUGAACCUGUAUCAUGGAGUUUUUUCGUAUUACAUGUUUUCAGCAUUUUAGUGAAAACUAGGUGGGAAGCUUUCUAAAAAAAACAAAUUAACUUGUGAUUUACAGGUAAUGGUACAAUUAACACUGGAAACAGACAUGUAAACAGACAUUUCAACUGAAAACCAGUGCAAGAGCAGUUCCCUGUACACAACAAUAAUGCUUAUCUCCUGGAAUUGCAGAGUUCAGCACUUAAUAGUGGUGGGGCUGUACAAUUAUUUCUGUAAAUAAAUGUUGUAUGACAUAAUGAAUUCAAAUUCCUGAAAGCAAAAUUGUGAAAAUUAACACUGUCUGAAAGGUCUGUUUAAGAAGAAGGAAGUUCACAAUAAGGCUGAGGUGGAAUUAAGUAAUUGCUGUUGAUUUGGAAGACGCUGUUCCAAUCUAGCCACAGCAAAAUGUCAAGGAGCAUAUUUAGCUCUUUAAUUCUCCCUGUGUGGAGCAGGAUGUUCAGUAUUGUAAACCAGACAGUAACAAAUGUUGUUUCUCUGAUGUAUCUUAUGAUGUGGACAAUUUGUAAUAUAGCUAGGGUCUGCAAUUUCAUUAAAAAUGUGAUUUGAACAAUAUGUUUUACCUUGAUUCAUGGUUACUUCCAUUUUCAUACAAACCCACUGCCCCAGGUUUUAAAGUUUAACAUCACCACAUUACUUCUUAAUUAAACAACAGCAGGAGUGUAUUUGGACUUUUCUGUCACCAGAAUAAUUUCAUUUGAUAAGUGAAAGAGUGCCAUCUGUGAUACAUGGAGCCUUCAGAAUUAGGAAACAUUUGAGAGAUGCAACAGUAAAGAUUAUUACAGCAGAGCUCAGCUGGAAGUGUAAGAUUGCUGCAACCCUCAUUAGAGAGCAGAAAGAUUCUUUGAGAAUUGAGGCAACAGAUCAGAGUCAAUUGGUUAUGUAUCAGUUAUCCAAGAAUUCUGCAUUAUUACUUGCAUGUAACAGCAAAGGAAUUCUUCAUAUGUUGAGAAAGACUGAGCUGACUGAAAAGAGUACAGCGCAUCUUUUUUUUAGUAAUGGAAAGUGCUGGCACAUACUUUCAAUAUCUGUAAUGCAAAGGGAAUCACUGUUCUGAUUUUUGUUUUAAGAAGUCUAAUUGCCUUAUAUUGAUGAAGAGUUUCAAGGGCUGGCUUACUUACUGUAUUCACAAAACUUAAGUAGUUAUCUAUAAACAUUUGUGUUUCUAAAACUAGACAACAGAUCCAAAUAGUAGCAAUUCAGGAUCCUUCCAAGUGUUCUCUGCUCAGUGUGAAUCCUAUGUUACUGUACUGAUUCAGAGGCUGUAUUUAUCAGUAAACAAUAAAUCAAUUAAGUUGUAUUUACAAGGUGUUCCACUCUGUGAGACAGAGGAAGAAAGAAUCUAGUUCAUGGCUCUUCUAUGUUUUCAAUUCAUUACCUCAGUCAACUAGAUUUAAGGGUUUUAUUUAUCAUUUUUUUCUAAAUAUGCCUAGAAUUUUUUUGUUUGAAGAAGGCAUAUGGAUCUGAGAUCUUUAAAUGCACCACCCUUCCACAGCUACAAUCUCAAACACCUACAAAACAACCAUUUACCUACUGAACUGAUUAGUUGUUUAGCUCACACCCCCACCCCCAAAUAAACCAUCUGAAACUUCUAAUUUAAGUCCUGCCUAUAUGAUGUCUGAGAAAAUGGCAGUCUGAAAUAGCCAAUAAUAUACAACUGCCUGAAAAUAAAUCUGAGUUAACACCCAAGUUCUAUACUUGGACAUAUAUUUCAGCUGAAAUUUUAUAUCAAAGAGAAGGGGAAAUAAUGGUAACUUAGGGUUGUUGGUGGAGGUAGCAUUCCCUGGGAGAGAAUAGUAAAUACACCUCUGAAACUUUCUGUUUUAUAGAGUAGUACUAAGGCUGAAAAACAGAUAUUUCUUUUGCUUAUUUGGCAGAGAAGUGAAAUCAAGGUGGAUUCUAGGGUCCAAACUCUGAAAGUUUAAAGUCAGGGGCUUCCAGCCCUGUUCUAUAUGGUACUUAUUACAAUGAACACAAUGACUCUGAUAACUGGAUGUGAAAAUACGCAAAAAUGUUGGAGCUACAGGCAGAUCUUGCUGGAAUUUUCAAUGAGAGAAUCUUCCCUUGUUUGAAAUUUCAAGUCUCAGCAAAGUAAAGUUGGUAUUAAUAACAUACUAAAAGGCAACUCUGCAAUUCAUAUAGGAGCUGGAUAUAACAGUUCAGUACCACUUUGAGGAAAUAAAUGGUAGUAAUACUUGACUUUUCAUAAUGUGACGUGUGAAUGGAUUCUUCCAUUUGAAGAAGCUUUCCACGUUUAAACUUUAUGUGUUUAUAAUGGGAAGCUACCCCAAGGAAUAGUUACUCUUAGAAAAACUUGAUAGGCUCCUGAGGUUGAUUAACUUUCCUAGUAAGUUGUUGCUGGUUAUUAAGGACUGCUUUUUUAUUUUUUUCAGUAAAUCUGCAAAAGGGGAGUAAAAGAAAACAUUUUCAAUAGAGCUGAUAUUUCAAAUUAUCAGAUCUCUUAAAAACUCAUGGUUGUUUGGAACUUCAGGAAUACUGGACUUGCCCUGUGCUUGCCAUGCACCUUUUGAUUACUAAUUGAGGUCCUGUAUUACUAAUUACUAGAAGUGAAGGACUGCAUGAAAACCACUCUAAGAGGAAAAAAAUGCAUUGCUUCAUUGGUAGCCUGACUAGCCUAGGAAGAAAGCUUCCAACAAUAUCUGAAGUCCUUUUGUGCUUUACAAGAAGAAAACAUUAAUUGGCAAACUCUUCCUUUAAUA